rnacentral:rRNA from 1 species
AUUGAACGCUGGCGGCAUGCCUUACACAUGCAAGUCGAACGGUAACAGGUCUUCGGAUGCUGACGAGUGGCGAACGGGUGAGUAAUACAUCGGAACGUGCCCGAUCGUGGGGGAUAACGAAGCGAAAGCUUUGCUAAUACCGCAUAAGAUCUACGGAUGAAAGCAGGGGACCGCAAGGCCUUGCGCGAACGGAGCGGCCGAUGGCAGAUUAGGUAGUUGGUGGGAUAAAAGCUUACCAAGCCGACGAUCUGUAGCUGGUCUGAGAGGACGACCAGCCACACUGGGACUGAGACACGGCCCAGACUCCUACGGGAGGCAGCAGUGGGGAAUUUUGGACAAUGGGCGAAAGCCUGAUCCAGCAUGCCGCGUGCAGGAUGAAGGCCUUCGGGUUGUAAACUGCUUUUGUACGGAACGAAAAGACUCUUUCUAAUAAAGAGGGUCCAUGACGGUACCGUAAGAAUAAGCACCGGCUAACUACGUGCCAGCCGCCGCGGUAAAAC